rnacentral:sRNA from 1 species
UUAUAUUCUCCACAGGGGGGGAUGAGAACCCCCGACCGGGGUUCGACAACUGGCGCAGCCAGUUGGACAGACCGCGCACGCAGUAAGCGGGCUGCCCCGCAGGGGCGAGCGAAGCGAGUCAAUCCCCCCCUCGCCGCCA